UACGUAGGCAGCAAGCGUUGUUCGGAAUUACUGGGCGUAAAGAGUGUGUAGGCGGUGCUCCAAGUCUGGUGUGAAAUCUCCCGGCUUAACUGGGAGGGUGCAUUAGAAACUGGAAUGCUAGAGGAUGGGAGAGGUGAGCGGAAUUCCUGGUGUAGCGGUGAAAUGCGUAGAUAUCAGGAGGAACACCUGUGGUGUAGACAGCUUACUGGACCAUUUCUGACGCUGAGACACGAAAGCGUGGGUAGCAAACAGG
rnacentral:rRNA from 1 species